AUCUUUCAGUGAUAAGAAAUGUGAUUCUUACUCUCAAUGCUAGUAAUCAUUUUUUUAACUUAAUAUUGGGACAAAUUUGAUAAGUAUGCCCUAGAUGUGGGAUGAUGAGCCAAAGCAACAAGCUCAACAGAAAAGGAUCCUUGAGAAAAGAACCUUACAGACUUCCUUCCCUAAUGCUAUUGAUGGAAAGAUGGAAAUGAAGACACUGAAAAGGGAAGAGGCAUGCCCAGGAUGAUGCAGCAAAUCAGUGGCAGAGUGGAUUUUUGAACUCAUGAUUCUUAAUCUACGUUCUCAUCUCUAUUCUGUUAUUUACUUACUGCUUUUUACCAAAUACCUAAAAAAAUAAUAAAAAAGAAAGAGUAACAAUCCUAUGGGUGAAA
rnacentral:lncRNA from 1 species